rnacentral:lncRNA from 1 species
CUGCCCCAUAUGACUGCACACCCAGGGAGUGAAACUGCUGGCAUGAAGUAGAACAGAGUUUGAAAGUGAUUGUCAAGCAGGGCUAAUUCAGAUGUAACCAGCGCAACCCUCAUGGCUGGCUCAACCACGCAGUAGAAACCUGAACACUCAGGAAGUCCCAUGGAAGGGUCUACAUGUCAAGGAACUGAGUCCUUCCAAUAAGCAUGAAGGAAGUGAGAGUUCCUGUGAACAACUGUGCAAGUCAGCCAUCUUGGAAGCAUAUAUUCUAGCUCCAGUCAAGCCUUCAGGUGACUGCAGCCCUGGCGAGGUAUCCUGACUACAGUUUCUUUAGAGACCCUGAGCUGGAACCACUCAGAUUAAGUUGCUACUAAAUUAUGAGAUAAUAAAUAUAAAUUUGUUUGAGAUACUAUGUUUUGUAGUAAUGUAUUACAUUGCAAUAGAUAACUAAUAAACUUUCUUUUUUCCUGCUACACACACUAUUUGUCAUGAAUUUGGUGACUGGUUUUAUAUUUCCUCUGCAAUAAUUUGAAUUAUACCUAUUUUUACUUGGUGCUGCUUUGAAUACAUUAUAUUUCAUCUCUUCCUUUGGUAGCGAAAUUCAUCAUGUCUAACUGGAAGGUAGACAUUUGCAUUUGUACUAGAAAAACUUGAUUGGUUUACUAGCAUGGUCACUGUGCUCUGGUAAAAAAAAUGUCAAGAAAUUCUGAUAAUUUCUUGCCACUUUUGGAAAAAAACACAAUAAUGAAUUCAAGAUUAAGAGAAAAUGG